UCAGUAAUAGAUGUGUAGGGGUGUGUGGGUGGAGGGAGGUUGUUGGGGGAAGAGGCAGGGGAUGGACUCCUUCCUCUCAAAGAUGACCCCGCAUCCCUGAGUGGGAGUGACAGAGAAUCACUGGCCCGCUUGCCCCAUGAAAACACAGUGGAGCCCUUUUUCCGGCCCCUUAAAUUGGACCGAGGAGAAUCUGGCGAGGGUCCAAAGAGCAGCAACAAAAGCGAUUAGAGGUGGAAAAGAAGAACCAAGAUAAGGUGAAAGGCGCCAGCAAGCUCUUCUCAGUUUCUCUGCAGGACACAGUCGGAGACGAAGUCACUGAGGCACAGAGAAGCGAAGCGACUCGCCCGAGGUCACACAGCAGAAAAGCGGCGGAGCCGGGAUGAGACUCCGGGUCCUCUGACUCCCAGGUCUGCGCCCUUUCCACGAGGCCACACUGCUUCUCAAGUUCGAGAAGAACUAAAGGUCUGCUGUGACAUCAUCGAACUCUCGAAAUAAGGCCUGAUGCACAUCAAGGCUGCCGACCCGACCACAUCCAAUUUCUUAUUAAUUUGUAACCAGUCCUGUUGCGAAUCUACGUUGUUUUGCCACAGACUGUUCUGGUUCCCCGAU